UGUGUACUCCCUCCGUUCCAAAAUACUUGACUUCCAUUUGUCCAAAAAUGGAUGUACCUAUAUACUAAGGCAUGUCUAGAUACAUAUAUAUUUUGACAAAUAGAAGGCAUGUAUUGUGCAACGGAGGGAGUAGAAU
rnacentral:pre_miRNA from 1 species